rnacentral:rRNA from 1 species
GAUGAACGCUGGCGGCGUGCCUAAUACAUGCAAGUCGAGCGAACAGACGAGGAGCUUGCUCCUCUGACGUUAGCGGCGGACGGGUGAGUAACACGUGGAUAACCUACCUAUAAGACUGGGAUAACUUCGGGAAACCGGAGCUAAUACCGGAUAAUAUAUUGAACCGCAUGGUUCAAUAGUGAAAGACGGUGUUGCUGUCACUUAUAGAUGGAUCCGCGCCGCAUUUGCUAGUUGGUAAGGUAACGGCUUACCAAGGCAACGAUGCGUAGCCGACCUGAGAGGGGGUUCGGCCCCGCCCGAACCGGGGCACCGGCCACACCUCGACGGGGAGGCGCCGGUGGGUAUUCUCCGCAACGGGGGUAAGGCUUACGGGACAACGGCGGCUGACUUGAUAAAGCCUUUCUGUCUGAAAACUGAGGUUUUUCGGAAGGAAAAGUGGUUUAAGAACGAGGGACGACUUGACGGUACCUAAAGAAAAAGCCACGGCUAACUACGUG